UUAUUUAUUAGUUUUUUAGGUUAACUGAGGUAUGUAUUAUCAUUUAUUAGUUUUAAUACGUUUCAUUUCUUCUCUAUAGUGAUCAUCAACUUAGGUUAAACAUGAAUAAACAAGAUAACAUGCUGUGUGAUUUUUUUAUGCCUUUACCAUACGAUGACAUUUUUCUGAUUUCGAUCUAAGUAUACCGAUGAGUUAUAAAUCGUUCUCUUUAUCCUGGUAUUAUAACAGACAAUAAUUUAGCUAAGUAUGUGGCUCUACAUUUUUUAUUCCAAUCAAAGACCGUAACACGUCCAAGAGAAAAAGUCCAUUACAGCAUCGGAUCUAUGCAUAUAAAUUUCAUUUUUCAAUGGGUUAACGAUAUAAAGAUUUCUUUUAACUAAUGUUUCCUUCAUAGAGAGUCUAUGUGAAUUAUUAUGCGAAUAAAAUGCAGCCACAAUUACAAGGAAUAAUCAAUACCAGAAUCUGUUAAAAGAGAGCAUAUAACUUUCCACAACGAUAAGAAAGAACUGACAACACUGCAAUCAUGAAAGAUUUUGGAAGACACCGCCUUCUUUUUACCACACUUCAAAGAAACCAUAUGCAUUUAUUUAUAUAAUAUACAGUGACAAUAACAGUGAGAUAAUUCUCCAUGACGUAACGGAAAUUUUUUAGACUUGUAAAUCAAUGGAAACUAAAUUUUAAAUGUUUCUCAGUUAUUCAAGUCAUUGGACACGAAACAUGAAAUUGACAUAGUUUUAAGAAUCAAUACCAAUUCUGAUAAUGAAACUUAAACUCCAACCUCAAUGAUGGGAAACGAGCUAAAUCAAGAUUCAUGGAAUGUAUCUGAUUACGCAAAUAAUGUUGUUGUAUACAUUGCUGGCAAAAGUAUCAAAGCAUUUUGAGUGUGACAUAUGCUGGGAGAGUCUAAUCCAAAAUCAGGUCUUUUGGGCUUCUAGAGAAUAAAAGAUCAAGGAGGAUUACUUUCAGUUUUGGAGGACGUGGUAAAACAUGUAUGAUAGCUGAAAAAAUUUUCUUUUUUUAUUGUCGAGCUCAUUAUUACUAUAUUGGUUAGAGAGUUUUCUGUCCACAUUUAUGAUAACGAUAAUCAUGCAUUUGAACAAACCAUCUUAUCGGAUCAUAAAAUGCAGCUUCUAAAGCUCAUGUUAAAAAAAUAUUUAGUAAAAUAUCAGAUUAUACCACGGAGGAGUAUUUAAGCAUAAUUCAAUUUAGUGACUUACAAACAAGUAUAAUAAUAUAUUAUUUUUAAGAUUCCGUUAAUUUGAUUUAAUAUUCUGUCUAUAAAGUUGCAUAAUUACAGUAUGCAUAUAUUCAUUGCACUAUUUAAAAAAAAUUAGGUUUCAAAAAAAGCCGUCUCUAGUUAUUAAAUGUAUUACAGAUAGUGUGUGUGUGCAUAAAUACAUGAUGUAUUGUAAAUUUUUUAUUCUUUCGGUCUUAUUUGAGCUGUAGAAAGGAAAUUAGGAAAUUUGACAGAUAUCAACAACUGAUAAGGUUGAGUUGCCGCCUACCGAGUUCUUUAAAUUCUGUACCAUUAUUCGUACACAGGUACUUCCCUUACUGCGAAACUAGUCUAUGCAGAGAGAAAUAAAACAUAGUUUCUCUA
rnacentral:lncRNA from 1 species